AAUUCUAAGAGAAAUAUGUCGCUUGGAGAAAGCCCUUUAAUUUAAAAAAAACAGUAUAUAUUUUGCUAAUAGUUACAGUAAAAACAGAUAAAACCAAGAGAACAUGGCCAUCAUUGUUCAAGGCCUCAUACUCUCUGAUGCAAAAAGGGUACAUGUGCAGGAUGUGCAGGUUUGUUACAUAGGUGAACGUGUGCCAUGGUGGUUUGCUGCACCUAUCAACCCAUCACCUAGCCUAAACAGUGACAGAACCAAGCUUUCAGCACUUCACCUUUCUAUGCUUCCAGUGAAAAUGGUGAUAAAGUGAAGGACAUGCUCCAGGGAAUCUGCUGAUGUCUCCAAAAUGUCAUCGGCAAAGCGGCGGAGAAAAAUGAGAAAAUCACCCAGGUUAUCUGCAAAAAAUUCUGAAAAAGAAAAUAUUCACUGGAAUUAGCCAAACAUCUGUAUAUCUGUACUAAUAAACAACAUUUAAAUUCCUUUCACCCUACUUAAUGAAGGUUAAAAAAAACCCUAAAUGUUUUGUUGGUACUAGAGAUGGUCGUUAAGUCAAUAAAUGUAAAAUCUCCUUUAAAUGU
rnacentral:lncRNA from 1 species